AAUUUAGGCACCUUGAGUUGCUCAUGCUGUGCAGGGGGCUCGUGCACAGACCCCAGUGCCUGCAGCUCCUGCCCACCAGGCCACUACCAGCCCCAAAGUGGGCAACCAUCCUGCCUGCCCUGCCCACAGGGGUCUUACACCAGCUUCCCAAGGAGCACCGUGUGCCUUCCCUGCCCUCCUGGCCAUUUUGCUGAUGAGUCUGGGGCUGCAGCCUGCAGAGCAUGUGAACAAGGUUAUUUUAGCUCCAAGCAAAACUCAUCUUUUUGUCUUCCUUGCCUGCCGGGAUCAUUUUGCAACACCACCAGCUGCACGGCCUGUCUGCCUUGUCCUGGGGGGCAAGAGGCUCCUCGGGAGGCGUCGGAGGACUGUGUGCCCUGCCAGCCAGGUACAUUCAAAGGUCCAAAUGACAGCAGGUGCAAGGUCUGCAGGACGGGAGAAUACCAAUUACAGCGGGGCAAGGAGAGCUGUGACCUGUGCCCAGAGAAUCAUUACUGCCCUAGCCCAGACGUGAACCCGGUCAAGUGCCCUCCUGACGCCUUCUGCCCCCGGGGCAGCACAGAGCCGACCUACUGCAUGGAGCUCUUCCUAUACAAGGCAGGGGACUCCUGCCAGCUGACCCCUGUGAUGAUUGUUCUCCUGGCCACCUUCUCUGCAGGUGGAAUCUUUGUUAUCUUUCUAAUAAUUCUGAGAAGGCGGCAAGACCCUGGCAGGAAAUCACUGAAGUCUCUGUUGCUGCCCCGAGGCUCAGGACGACACUCGACUUAUGGGGGCAUGGAGCACACAGAACCAGUCUAUGCUGGGUGGUAGCACAGGACAGGCCACCAGCAGGCACCUGCCUUUCUUUUGCCUGGGGCAAAACAGAUGUGUGUGUGUAUGGGCAAGGUGUCUAACCACAAGCAACUUAUUUCUGUAUAGGCAAAAUAAGUGCUGAGAAAUAAAACUCAGUUUUUGAGUUGUGGCUGCUUGUGC
rnacentral:lncRNA from 1 species